UACGUAGGGUGCGAGCGUUAAUCGGAAUUACUGGGCGUAAAGCGUGCGCAGGCGGUUCGUUAAGUUCGAUGGGAAAGCCCCGGGCUCAACCUGGGAAUUGCAUUGGAAACUGGCGGGCUUGAGUGUGGCAGAGGGGGGUGGAAUUCCACGUGUAGCAGUGAAAUGCGUAGAGAUGUGGAGGAACACCGAUGGCGAAGCCAGCCCCCUGGGCUAACACUGACGCUCAGGCACGAAAGCGUGGGGAGCAAACAGG
rnacentral:rRNA from 1 species